UGGGGGAGGAGAACAACAGCCACUGUGGGAAAGGCAGGAAACAACUAAGAUCCUUCUCCCCAUAGAACAAAAGACUCAAACGGAAAGGAUUUACUGCAAAGACCCACAUUUCCCAGUGCGACUUAGAAAGGCCAUUUGAAGACACAGCAAGAAGGUGGCCAUUUACAAGCAAGAAAGAGAGCUGUCACCAGAAACCAAAUCUGCUAGCACCUUGAUCUCAAACUUCCCAGCCUCUAGAACUGUGAGAAAAUAAAUGCUCUUCUCCAAAGACGUCACUGGACACUCAAAUCAAAGAUUGGAGAGAUCCCAAAAAAGCAUUCCUCAUAGUAGGAGCCAGAGUGAGGAGAAUAGCAGCAGUGAAUCCUACCAAGAUAUGUUUCUUCUAUUUCAUCUAUGGAACAAAACCCCUAAAUUGUGAAAGAGUGUCUGGCUACGUCUUCUCCAUGUGGGACACCUACCAAAGCAUGGCGUGCCAAGUGGUGCCAUGUCCGCACCCAGGAUCCGAACCCACGAACCCCAGGCCGCAGAGAAGUGGAACGUGGGAACUUAACCGCUGCGCCACUGGGCCAGCCCUCAGCACUUUUGAACAUGUGGCCUCCUGGUGAAUCCCUGAUCAGAGGACCCAGUUAACCUGUGCUUGGACUUCUGAACUACAGAACUGUGAGUCAAAAAUAUUCACCAACUUGUUUGGAAAGUGACAUCAUCAAGAUGGUGAAAUAGGUGGUCCUUGACUUUGGUUCCCCUCACAAGAAGACCACCUAGCAGCUAUCCAUAGACAAAAUACCAUUGGGAAAAUCUCAGAACCCAGAGGUGUGGCUGAAGCAACCCCUUGGACAACAAAAGACCGAGAAAGACCUCAUUAGAAGGGUAAGAGGAGUGGUUCCACUUUGAUUGCAUAGCCCCUCCCCUAGGCCAGCAAAGUGCCAUAAUGAGAAGGCCCCCUGGGUCUAAGAUUUCUUCAGUAGGAAAAAGAGAUGCCAAGGUGGCCAUCCAGCUUCCCCAGCAUUGAGGGAUGCUUCCUUGGAGACCCACUUGGUUCUCAACU
rnacentral:lncRNA from 1 species